AUACGUAGGUGGCAAGCGUUGUCCGGAAUUAUUGGGCGUAAAGCGCGCGCAGGUGGUUCCUUAAGUCUGAUGUGAAAGCCCCCGGCUCAACCGGGGAGGGUCAUUGGAAACUGGGGAACUUGAGUGCAGAAGAGGAUAGUGGAAUUCCAAGUGUAGCGGUGAAAUGCGUAGAGAUUUGGAGGAACACCAGUGGCGAAGGCGACUGUCUGGUCUAUAACUGACACUGAGGCGCGAAAGCGUGGGGAACAAACAGGAUUAGAUACCCUGGUAGUCCACGCCGUAAACGACGAGUGCUAAGUGUUGGGGGGUUUCCGCCCCUCAGUGCUGCAGCUAACGCAUUAAGCACUCCGCCUGGGGAGUACGUACGCAAGUAUGAAACUCAAAUGAAUUGGCGGGG
rnacentral:rRNA from 1 species